AUGGAUGGGACAGGCAGCAAAGCCUGCUCCCUCUCUCAGAGAGGCACAGCAAAGAAGGGCCAGCAUUUCUCAAAGUCAUGGGCCCCCUUGAGUCCGGCUACCCCCAUGUUCAAUGGUGAUCAAGUCUGGCUGGAGGAGCUGAUAGACCCUGCUUCUAACCAGUCCUCUCCCAGUCAGCCAUCUAGCCCCAGUGAUCCAAGCAGCAGUCCAGGAGGCAGCAGGAGUAGCAGUGACAGCACUGACAGCCUGCACAGCUGGAACUCUGGGGUGACCUGCAUCCUGCACAAGUCUAUCAAGAAGCAGAGCCAGGAAGCUUUUCAGACUCGGCUCAGAGGAGACAGAGAGUGGGAGAAGCUUGCAGCAGUUCCUUCUACCAGGCCUCAUGGCAGAGGACAUCCACAGGCAGAGCAGGGAGGAGACAGCCACAGCAGAAAUCUGCAUCAAGGGAGGGGCUCUGUACUGUCACACACCAGCUCUAAGAGCGGAAAACUACAGUGUGUACUGGAGGAAAAGAUUGAAGCCAAACUGAAGUUUUCGCAGUUCCUGGAUGAGGUGACGUCUAAUGUGCUUGACCCAAACAGCUUGCAGGCAUUUGGAAAACCAGCAUCUCCCUCUGGCUUCACCAAUACAAAUGCUGAUCAGCCUCAAGCAGAGAUCCACGUGGUGAGCCCCAGGCUACCCUGCUCAAUGGCCCAGCAGCAAGGCCCUUUAGCCGAGCAGAAGACUCCGGAAGAGCGGAUUUCUCCUGACCUGGUAGAAAAAAAGUAUCUGGAGACGGACAUCGACACUGUAAGGAAGGGCGAUGAGCUGCACGACCUGGAGAUAAAAGCAGACACACCAGAACAAAUAGAUGAGAAAUAUGUGAUUCCACCUCCUCCAGAGUUCCGUCAAGGAUUUAAGAUGAAGAGUCACUUUCCUGAGUUUCACUAUGACUUCCCCAGAUACCCCUACAGAUCUAUCUCUCUGCCCAGGGGCAUCAACAUGAUGCCUGACGAAGUGAUGAACAACAUAGACACCAUCAGGUAA
rnacentral:lncRNA from 1 species